rnacentral:misc_RNA from 1 species
GAUGAAGAACGUAGCGAAAUGCGAUAAGUAAUGCGAAUUGCAGAAUCCGUGAAUCAUCGAAUCUUUGAACGCACAUUGCGCCCUGUGGUAUUCCGCAGGGCAUGCCUGUUCGAGCGUCAUUGACACCCUCAAGCUCUGCUUGGUCUUGGGCGUUUGUGCCUGCCGUUGCGCAGGGACUCGCCUCAAACUCAUUGGCAGCCUGCCUUUGCCGGUCUUUGCACAGCACAGUCGUGCCAAAGCCGCGGUGAGCAGGCGCUCCACAAGCCCUUUUCAGCUUGACCUCGGAUCAGGUAGGAAUACCCGCUGAACUUAAGCAUAUCAAUAAGCGGAGGA